UACGUAGGGACCAAGCGUUGUUCGGAUUUACUGGGCGUAAAGGGCGCGUAGGCGGCAAUUCAAGUCAUCUGUGAAAUCUCCGGGCUUAACCCGGAACGGUCAGAUGAUACUGCUUUGCUAGAGUGCGGAAGGGGCAAUCGGAAUUCUUGGUGUAGCGGUGAGAUGCGUAGAUAUCAAGAGGAACACCUGAGGUGAAGACGGGUUGCUGGGCCGACACUGACGCUGAUAGCGCGAAAGCCAGGGGAGCAAACGGG
rnacentral:rRNA from 1 species